ACUGAGUUGUCUGGCCAGCACAUAGACAGAGCUUGACCGAUGAUUCCGCCAAAUAUGAGUUGCUUCAUCACUAUUUAUAACAAUGUGUCAAACUAUGUUGCAUAAUAUGCUGUUGAUGUAGCUAGUUUGCAAUUGUUGCAUACCAUAAAUUAUGUUUGUAACACAGAUGUUUAUUUUGCUCCCAGCUAAAAUCAUCAUCUCUCUCUCCUUUAUUACAGCGAGUUUCCCGAGAGGACGUUUGAUUUGGUACUACAGGUUGCAUGCCCAACAUCUGAAAAUGAAGAUCCUACUGUGCGGUGGAGCUUCCCCCAGGACUACACAGACCAGGAGGUUCUCCAGACGGUGCCCAAGUUCUGCUUCCCCUUCGAUGUGGAGAGGUAGGACACACACACACACACACACACACACACACACACACACACACACACACACACACACACACACACACACACACACACACACACACACAAUCAUAUUUAUUAGAAACUGGAGAGCUGUGUAUGUGCCACAUAAUGGAGCUCAGAUACAGGGGAGUCUGCUGUUAACCGCCCUAUCUGCUGUUAACCCCCCUAUCUGCUGUUAACCCCCCUAUCUGCUGUUAACCCCCCUAUCUGCUGUUAACCCCCCUAUCUGCUGUUAACCCCCCUAUCUGCUGUUAACCCCCCUAUCUGCUGUUAACCCC
rnacentral:lncRNA from 1 species